AACAAAAAAAAAAUAGACAGGUUAACCCAAAAUUAACUGGGUUAACUCGUGAAACCAAGUUAACCCGUGAAACUUAGAAUAUAUGUCAUGAAAGUCUGAUAACUAAAUA